UACGUAGGCAGCGAGCGUUGUUCGGAAUUACUGGGCGUAAAGAGUGUGUAGGCGGUGCUCCCAGUCUGUUGUGAAAUCUCCCGGCUUAACUGGGAGGGUGCAGCGGAAACUAGAGUGCUAGAGGGUGGGAGAGGUAAGCGGAAUUCCUGGUGUAAGCGGUGAAAUGCGUAGAUAUCAGGAGGAACACCGGUGGCGAAGGCGGGUCUCUGGGCCGAUACUGACGCUGAGGAGCGAAAGCGUGGGGAGCGAACAGG
rnacentral:rRNA from 1 species